CAGGGAUUGCAUGGGGUGUUCUCAGAAGAAGGAAAUGUUGCUGCUGGUAUUUAAGCUAGAAAGGUGAACAUGCACUUUUAUGAAACAGGAGUUUAUAGGUGGAGUUUUGUUAAGGCACUUCUUUGAGUUUUGCUGUUUGUAGAAACAAGGAAGCUUACUGUGAACAGCUUUUAGGUCCAAAUAGAGGGGGUAGCAUAAAGGGUAGCAAGAAUGAAAUGUUUAGAUGAGCUAGUGAGUUUUGUGAGGUUUAUUUAUUUAUCAAGCUCUUCAGAAAUAUCCUCUGGCCUCCUGAACAGCAGCAAAGUAUUAGACUUACAAAUGUUUUUUCUGGAGUUAUGCAAGUCUCUUGCAGAAAAGGAAUGGAGAUAUUUACCAUCUGUUCAAAUGCACAUUGGCUAUGGUAAACAAUUCAGACAAUUCUCCAAGCAGUGGGCAUGGGGAGGCAACCAAUUAUAGAUUCUGUUUCUUCACGCAUCUUGGGUGCAGGCAGAGGACAACACAUUCAG
rnacentral:lncRNA from 14 species